rnacentral:rRNA from 1 species
AACGAACGCUGGCGGCAUGCCUAACACAUGCAAGUCGAACGAUCCCUUCGGGGAUAGUGGCGCACGGGUGCGUAACGCGUGGGAAUCUGCCCUUGGCUUCGGAAUAACAGUUAGAAAUGACUGCUAAUACCGGAUGAUGUCUUCGGAUCAAGGAUUUAUCGGCCAGGGAUGAGCCCGCGUAGGAUUAGGUAGUUGGUGAGGUAAAGGCUCACCAAGCCGACGAUCCUUAGCUGGUCUGAGAGGAUGAUCAGCCACACUGGGACUGAGACACGGCCCAGACUCCUACGGGAGGCAGCAGUGGGGAAUAUUGGACAAUGGGCGCAAGCCUGAUCCAGCAAUGCCGCGUGAGUGAUGAAGGCCUUCGGGUCGUAAAGCUCUUUUACCCGGGAUGAUAAUGACAGUACCGGGAGAAUAAGCUCCGGCUAACUCCGUGCCAGCCGCCGCGGUAAGAC